UACCAGCACCCCGAGUGGUCGGGACGAUUAUUGGGCCUAGAGCAUCCGUAGCCGGUCAUGCAAGUCUUCCGUUAAAUCCAGCCGCUCAACGGUUGGGCUGCGGAGGAUACUACGUGGCUAGGAGGCGGGAGAGGCAAGCGGUACUCAGUGGGUAGGGGUAAAAUCCUUUGAUCCAUUGAAGACCACCAGUGGCGAAGGCGGCUUGCCAGAACGCGCUCGACGGUGAGGGAUGAAAGCUGGGGGAGCAAACCGG
rnacentral:rRNA from 1 species